UGGCUCUAGCAUCGAUGAAGAACGCAGCGAAAUGCGAUAGGUAGUAUGAAUUGCAGAAUUCAGUGAAUCAUCGAAUCUUUGAACGCACAUUGCACCUCUUGGCAUUCCUUGAGGUAUGCCUGUUCGAGCGUUAUGACACGAUCAGUUUCUGGUAUUGGUUUUGUUGUAAGACACUGCCUAAAGCAAUGGAGUGGUGAGCCGACUCAACGCAGCCAAAACAAUGUUUUGCCUUGAGACGGUUUCGGAUGCUUCUUCUACCAUUGUUUAACCUCGGAUCAGGCAAGAAUACCCGCUGA
rnacentral:misc_RNA from 1 species